rnacentral:rRNA from 1 species
AUGCACGGCCACACCACUCUGGAAACGCCCGAUCUCGUCCGAUCUCGGAAGUUAAGCAGGGUCGGGCCUGGUUAGUACUUGGAUGGGAGACCUCCUGGUAAUACCGGGUGCCGUAGGCU